rnacentral:hammerhead_ribozyme from 1 species
AUCCAGCUGACGAAUCCCAAAUAGGACGAAAUGUGCAUCCUGGAU